CGGUUUUAGUGGCGGACGGGUGAGUAACGCGUGGGUAACCUGCCUCACACUGGGGGAUAACACUUAGAAAUAGGUGCUAAUACCGCAUAAGCGCACGGGACUGCAUGGUCUUGUGUGAAAAACUCCGGUGGUGUGAGAUGGACCCGCGUCUGAUUAGCUGGUUGGCGGGGUAACGGCCCACCAAGGCGACGAUCAGUAGCCGGCCUGAGAGGGUGGACGGCCACAUUGGGACUGAGACACGGCCCAAACUCCUACGGGAGGCAGCAG
rnacentral:rRNA from 1 species